rnacentral:tRNA from 1 species
GGGGCUGUAGCUCAGUGGUAGAGCGCUUGCAUAGCAUGCAUGAGGCACUGGGUUUGAUUCUCAGCACCACA